rnacentral:rRNA from 1 species
AUUGAACGCUGGCGGCAUGCCUUACACAUGCAAGUCGAACGUGAAAGCGGGGCAACCCGCAAGUAGAGUGGCGGACGGGUGAGUAAUACAUCGGAACGUGUCCAGUAAUGGGGGAUAACCUAGCGAAAGUUAGGCUAAUACCGCAUACGAUCUGCGGAUGAAAGCGGGGGAUGCGGCACUAAAGGCUUUUGGCGAAGGUGGCCAAAGGUGAGUCAAGAGCUUUUAGUGCNGCACCUCGCGUUAUUGGAGCGGCUGAUGUCUGAUUAGCUAGUUGGUGAGGUAAAGGCUUACCAAGGCGACGAUCAGUAGCUGGUCUGAGAGGACGGCCAGCCACACUGGGACUGAGACACGGCCCAGACUCCUACGGGAGGCAGCAGUGGGGAAUUUUGGACAAGUGGGGGCAACCCUGAUCCAGCCAUGUCGCGUGAGUGAAGAAGGCC